UGAAGUUGACUCAGACGUUAAAAGAGUGAUGCCAUUAAAGGCGUACCCCAACGACUGCCACAAAGUCCGUUCACAGUGUCACGCUGGCGUCAGUUCUGGUUUGCACCAGUCACCUCAUUUCUGGGCAACGUCCUGAUGUACUUCCUGUUUCUCUUGCUUUUCGCCUACGUGCUGUUGGUGGAUUUCAAGCCCCCACCCCCCUCAGGUCCAGCUGCCACUGAGUGUGUGUUGUACUUCUGGGUAUUCACCCUCGUUUGUGAGGAGAUCCGACAGACGCUGUUUUUGGGGACGACCUGGAGUCAAAGUUUCAGACUCUACAUUCAGGAUGUGUGGAAUAAAUGUGAUCUCACUGCCAUCAGCCUGUUCAUUGUCGGACUGAUUUGCAGGAUGUUUCACCGGUCACAUGAAUUUGGACGGGAUGUCCUGUGUUUGGACUACAUGGUCUUCACACUUCGCCUCAUUCACAUUUUUGCCAUUCACAAGCAGCUGGGACCAAAACUCAUCAUUGUAGGAAAUAUGAUGAAGGAUGUCUUCUUCUUCCUCUUCUUCCUGGGCGUGUGGGUCUUGGCGUACGGAGUUGCCAAUCAGGCUCUGAUCUACAACUAUGAUCCAAAUCCAAAUCGCAUUUUUCUGAGAGUUUUCUACAUGCCAUACUUGCACAUCUUUGGAUACGGCUCUUCCAUCGAGGAAGAGAUGGAUGUGGGACGGGAACUAAACUGCACAGACAAUGUGACUUUGAUUGAGAGCGGUGAAGAGCCGUGUAGAAAUCAUGAGAAGUAACUGGCUGGUAGUGAUUCUGCUAGUGUAUAUCUCCUGGUCACCAACAUCCUGCUCAUCAACCUGCUUAUUGCCAUGUUUAGCUACACUUUCUCUAAAGUGCAGGAACACAGUGACAUCUACUGGAAGUUCCAGCGUUACAACCUGAUUGUUGAGUACCACUCCCGUCCUUCUUUGGCUCCUCCUUUCAUUAUCCUCUCACACAUCAACAUCUUUAUUAGGAGAGUUAUUCGCAAAGUGCCCUCUGUAAAGAUCCACCACUUUGUGUUAGACUUGGAAGCAAAGGCAGCGAACAGAUUAUCAACAUGGGAAACGAUUCAGAAGGAAGACUUCCUGACUGCUCGAAACAAGAUCCAGAAAAGCAGCGACUCAGAAAGGCUCAAACGGAUGUCUGCAAAGGUAGAUGAUGUGCUUAAACGUCUGACUGAAAGCAAAGAGUUUGAACACAGACUACAGGCUCAGAUGGAGCAAUACUCAACUGUCCUCAACUGGGUUGUGGAUACUUUAGCACAAGGAAGUACAGUCAAACCUCCUCGUGCCCUGCCUGUGUUACGAGGUACUUCCCAGAACUUAUGAAAUCAGUUUUGCUUACAAAACAGCCUGCAUGUUAAAAAAGUCACACUGCUUUCACUCGGGUUAUUGCAGUAAGUAAGCAGAUAACAUGUCAUCUUCACUGCUUUAGUUUUAAAAGUGCUUACUAAAUCUUUUACAUUGUAGUCGGAUUUUCUGUGAUGUUGUCUAUCAGGGGUCAUAUUGAGAGCACGUUAAUACUUUUUUUUUGCUCCGUUACACUGCAAAUAUGGGCCGUAUUUUUAUGUCUGCAUUAUUGUUUUCUAUUUAAUCAAGUUUUUAUGCAGUAUAAUACAUUUAUUUUUAAUAUGACAACAAAGGAAUUUGUUGCUGAGAGUUUGGUUAAAAAAGCCUGCCACAAUUCAUGUGGUAUGCCUUUUGGACAAAUGAGACCAAAGUAUUGAUAUUUGGAUUAUUUAAAUAAUUUCAGAGAUUUUUUUAUUAGAUCAUUAUCUAGUUAUUAUGUCCUUGUAGAGAAAUUCUUAGAAGUGAAUGAUGUAUGCCUGUUACACGUGGCUGCACUAUACAAAAAAGGUUCCUUGUCUUGUCUAAUUCUUGGCACAAAAUCAAAGUGCAGAGUGAGCAAAUACAUUCCAGACAGUCAGGCCUGUCUGGUUACAUAACGUAGUAGGUAACUUGUAGGUAAGAAAAGAAACCAAGGGUAAAAUCUAGGUUUCUUUCGAAUUCUCGUUUUAUGCAGAUGACACAGUUAUCUAUUGUUCAUCUACUUGAUUAGUACAAACACUUGAAUUUCUUGAGGCAGUCUUAGAUGUUGUUCAGUCUCAUUAAACUUACUUUGUUUCAUUUUCUUUUCCCUUUCCUUCCCUUUUUGCAUUACUGUGAUCUGCUCCUUUUAAACAUACCAGGGCAGCACCUAAAGAGGCUGUAUACUGUUUGUUAUUGUGCUUUAUGUUUUAUCACUAGUUGCGAAAAUGAUGUACAUCACUGUUCUCUGUAUGCUGCUGCUAAGUGCUCAUUUCUGAAUAUCCCCAUCUCUGUAUAUAAUUGUUUUUUAAUCUAAAAAUGUCUGGUCGAGGGCACCAGUUUAGGUCACUGAGAUGAGCAGGUGACCAUAUGCCAUAUGGCUGAGAGCACCUGGCCUGGGAUCAAAUCUGACCCGCAGCACUUUGCCACAUGUCUUCCCCUUACUCUGCUUUCCUAUAACUCUUCACUGCACCUGUCUAAUAAAGCCAGAAAAAAGCCAUGUGUCUGUAUAUGUAAAAACCACAACCAGUCUACGCUUUCACAAUAUUAUACAAAUGUUUGUCUCCAGGGUCAGAAUGGAGUUGUGAAUAGACAUUUUAAAAUAUCCUGUCCCCUUUGUGCUGCAGUAAUCUACAUAAGAAGUUCAGACUGCACAACUGAUUAUCAGACUCAUGAUGGGGGAGUUUAAGUCCAUUUUAAAAAGUGUGAGAAGUGUGAGCUCUUUCAGCCAGUUUGACUGCUUUUAUUACCACUCUUUUAAUAAUGUUUGCUUUUUGUGUUCACCUGUCUGGACUGGACUGCAUUGGCUUUUUCUUUGUGUAUUUGCUGAAACUUCGUCUCCGCUCUUUGCCAGGUGUGUCUUUAAAAACAGAUUCAAAUCUCAAUGAGAUUUGAAUGAAUAAAGAAUAAUAAUAAAAAUA